ensembl:lncRNA LINC01896 long intergenic non-protein coding RNA 1896
GCGGCCGCCAGGAUGUGCCCCCGGCCCCGUCGUCGCCGCGCCCGCGCCCCUCGCCCCAGUACGUCUUUUUUCGUUUCCUAAAUUUCUUAUUUUUGUCCUUGCAAGUGGUCCUGUCUGGUGUGAACCGUCAGCACAGAUGGCCUCCUGGAGCUUCCCCGAGUCGUUCGCUGGGGGAAGCGGGCGGUGAGCGGCCAGCCCGGGCGCUCCGCAGGCCGCGAGCUCCCGGCAGGGCUGGUGGCGGGGGUCCGCCUGGGGGAGGAAUCCCCGCCUGCUCCAUCGGACCCGGCCUGGCGCGGCUCGCGGCGCUCGGCGGGCUCCCUUCCAUUCUAGAAUCUUCCCGCUUGCUUCCCAGCCCGCGUUCUUCCGCCUGCCUUUAAUUGUGUGUGGACGUGGGGAGGAUCUUCUAAGUCCCUCCAACGAAGGCAAGUGUGAGACUCUGGCCCUUUAUUUGUAAGAAGCAAGCCUUCAGAUUGCAGAAGUGUCGCGCGGGUCGCCGUGCGUUGCGCGAGUGGGAAGAUGGAGGAGGCCGGCACGCUGCUUUCGUGGACGCAAGUGAACCGGGCGUGAAGGCAGGGUGCGAGCUCUGCCCUUGGCCCAGCCCUGCGUGGGCGCCGUCCCAGAUUCCGGGCGGUGCGGGGUGCAGAGAUCUGGAGAGACUUGCGGGCUCCCCAGCGCAGGCUGCUCUGGGAUUUCGUUGGAAGAUCCGGCAGAGCCUUGGAGGAGAGGGCCCGGGAGGCUGUGUGUGCAGCGGAAACUUGUACGAAUGCCCCCACAGCGGAAAUGGUGCGCACGAGUAAUUUCUGCGGUGCACCCUUUUAAAAAUUGACAAGUGAACAAGAUCAAUUUUUUAAGAAAGCAAAGGUAGAAAACAAAAGGCGUGCGACUUCUUGACUGGCUUGUUCCCGCCUUUCUUCCUUCUCUAUACUCAGAUCAGAAACUUUUCUUUAAUUGCUCUUAUUCAGUGCGACAACUUUUAAUAAAAGCAUUUGCAUUUUAAGCCUGAGUUGCAACCAUAGAUUUAUUGCGAAGUGACAACGUGUCUAUGGAAUAUUUUCGCAGAUGAGACAGGACAUGCGCUCUAGUCGUGCCCAGAUUAAAGCGACGCUGGGCCAUGUGCCUGUGUAGUGCAGACUCGGAGGGGCACACACAUACUCGUCACCACAUGACCACUGUCUAUUAAUAUUGUCAUACCUAAACACUCGCAAAAACAAAAGUUGCUUUUCUUCCCUGUAAUUAAAUCUAAUUUGUUAAUUGUC